GAAUUUGACAUCAAAAACCACUUCUAAUCCAGAGUUUAUGGUGGAGAGAGGGACCCUACAGGCAGCUCUGUCCGGGCCUUCAUCUCUGAGUCCAAUCUCUCCUCGCACUGUUGAAGGCGCUUGCGUAGGAAAUCGUUCUCCAUCUGAGCACAGUCCAAACGCAUCUGCCACUCGUCUGCUGUGUGACAGAGUCGGCAGCUGGUGAGUGAGGCGGCAGGGGUGGGUCUCACCUCACUUCUCGGCCCUGUGCUUGUCACUUGGAAGUGACACUUCGAAAGGCUCCUGAGCCUCAGUCUUGGAUUUGGGGUAAGAAACUGUGCUGAACUUUCCUCCAGGAAGUCUGUCCUGUCCUGACUACAUCCAGCUCUCUGGAGGGUUGACCUCACUGUUGUAAGGUCAGAUCCCUUAUACCCUGCAAGGGUAAUCAGAUGUUUCUUUUUCCAAAGAAAUUUCUCAAUCUAUAAGGCAUGGAAUUCUCUAGUCUUUGGUGUAUGUCCAACAUCAUGUAGUCAUUUCUCAGAUAGUUGGGAAUGCAUGCUCUCCAGCUACCAAUGGACACAUCAGAAUCAUGGGUCAUGAAUCCUGGAGUAAAGAGAGACAUGCUCCUGGCCAUGAACUGGGCGGCAGAUUCUUAUUGAUUUGGGGUUGAGUUACUAGCUAAAUGGUUGGGUGAUCACUCAAUAAGAACUUGGCCCACAAAUGCCCCAGGAGAUGUGGUGUAUAGUAAAUCCUUUGAUUUGGUUUAAACAGUUGUGUGAUGGUUGAAUUGAAACCAUGGUCACAGUGCUUUAUCUUUUGAUCACCAAAGAAGAGAAUGAUUUUCCUUAAGUUAAUGAAGCUGGGGAGACAUCCUUAAGAAGUACUCAACCUACUUUAUCAUUAUGUACCUUUACAUCUAUCUACAUCUAUUAUCCACCCACCUAUCUGUCCAUCCAUCUGUCAUCCAUCCAUCCAUCCAUCCAUCCAUCCAUCCAUCCAUGUGACACACAUUCAAUGCACUGCUUCUUAGGAGUACAAGGGAUAAUUGCAUUAAUAACAAGUCAUUUAUACCCAGCUUUUAGUAUAAUUUGAUGGGAAUAAGAAACAUGUUCAGAGAGAGAUACAAACUAGUUUUCUCCUGGAAAAAUCCAUGAAAAUCCAGAAAAGGGCUUGAAUCUAUGAGGACUCUCUUGGGACACACUAUGAUGCUAAACAUAUAGGAAAAAGCAAACUAGUGUUCAUUAGGUAGAUAGAUAGACAGGCAGACAGACAGAUAGAUGGUUGGGUAGAUGGUAAGGUGGAAGAGUAAUGAAUGUAUCAUUGAUGAGUAAUGGUAGAUGUUUGUGUAGAUGGAUAAGGGGGUACAUGGAUGGAUGGAUGGAUGGAUGGAUGGAUGGGUAGGAGGGUGGAUAGAUGACAGGUUGAUGGGUGGAUGGGUGGGUGGGUGGAUGGGUGCAUGGAUGGGUGGAUGGAUGGGUGGAUAGAUGGGUGGAUGGAUGGGUGGAUAGAUGGGUGGAUGGAUGGAUAGGUCAGUGAGCAAGGCAAUGGUUGAGCAAAUAUGUAGCCAGUCUGUCCAACAACAUCCUGAUUUAUCUGUUCACCUGUUCCCUGUAUUUCUGCAAUCUAUCUCUACAUGUUCUAGUUUCCUGAGAAUGAACCUCAAUUAAAAUUCUUCUCAAGCUCUCAGUGUCCAGCCUGGUGCUGGGUAUGUAUUGCAGAAGAUUCACUAUAAGUAGUCAGGCAGGCGUAAAUAAAGCCAUGAUUUUUAUGAUGCGGGCAAGCAAGCACAGCAGUGGUGAAUGAAAGUGUUUUAUCACCUCUAUCUACUUCCUGUGUUUUAGAGGUUUCAUGUAAAGAGUAUGUAUGACUUUCAUAAUGAGAAACAGAGUCUCUAUGGCCCGGCUUCCUGAACUGCACACCUUCAGCUAAGCACCUGCUUCGUGCAGUGACUGAUAUGCCUUCGAGCUAAGAGCAUCUCCCAUCUCAUCUGCCCCCUGAUCACUGCAAAAGAAACAUGCUCAGGAAGCCUCAUUCAGACAUGUCUUGGAUGGAUGGAGCCUGUGCUGGGAUGCCUAUGGGCUGCCCAGAGCUACCCCCAAAUAGCUGGCUCGGUACCAACAGCUGGCCCUGUGUGCACUUUGUCUUGUUUAGUCUCUGGCAUCAGAAACUUUCAGCUGCCUGUGGUCCAUCCCAAGGGAAACUCAGACUCAAACAAAACCAGGGCGUAAUGAAUGUGUUGGAAUGGUCUUGGGUAAAGGAGCUUGAGAAGGCUCUAAACAUGACCUCUUGGGUUCACUCCCAAGACCCACAUGGUUGAGAGAACUGAUUCCCACAGAUUGUCCUCUGUCCCAUGUCCUAUGUGUGCCACAUACACAUGCAAUU
rnacentral:lncRNA from 1 species